AGCGAAGCAGUGAUGUGGAGUAAAACUUAAAAAAGCGGUCCCAGUUCGAAUUGAAGGCUGAAAUUCGCCUUCAUGAAGUCGGAAUUGCUAGUAAUGGCAGGUCAGCAUACUGCCGUGAAUACGUUCCCGGGCCUUGUACACACCGCCCGUCACACCAUGAGAGUUGGAGAUACCCGAAGCCUGUGAGCUAACAGAAAUGGAGCAGCAGUCGAAGGUAGAAUCAAUGAUUGGGGUGAAGUCGUAACAAGGUAAC
rnacentral:rRNA from 1 species